UGAACGGACGGAUCGCCUGCUCCAAG
rnacentral:piRNA from 1 species